rnacentral:sRNA from 1 species
AUGUCUCGUCUCGGUAUUCCUGACAAAGAGAAAUUUUAUGCUGUGUUUGACGAGAAAGAGGAUAAUGCACUCGAAAGUACAAGACGUGUAGGAAUUUCAUCAUCAAAUCAAGGACCAAGAAGACUUAGGAUGUUUGACGAGUUUUGUUUACCUCUCAAUAGACUACGUCUGGAAUUACUCCUAGAAGAUUUAGAUUUAGGUUCAGUGUCAUAUGGCAGCACAGCAUCCCUAGUAACUAGAGUCUCAGCACCAGUCAUACAGAAGAAUGUUGGAUACACAUACAUUGAAGAGGUAAACAGAGGCAUCCUCUUGUCUCCAGGAGAAGUUUCUAAGAAACAUGGAAUUAGCAUGGAUAAGAAGUUGUGGCAUAAAAAAAUAAAUGCAUCGGUUUCCUUCAAAAGGAGACGCCUGUUAUUGAAGAAAAGACAACAUUGGAGGGAGUCAGCAAAUUAUGUCAAAGAAGGGAAAACAUACGAACGAGACAUUUCAUCAGCAGAUGUAAACCCAUGUGAUAUAGAAGCUUUACCUGGAAAGCGUAACUUCCCUGGUGGUGAAAACACAGUAGUCUUUGACUUGGAAACAACAGGACUGUCCCGCAACAGUGACAUAAUCCAAUUAGCAGCUUUUGAUGGGAAAGAAGAGUUGAUUAUUUACAUUUCCCCAUCCCAGGAAAUAACGUCGAAAGCAAGUGAAAUUACAGGACUGAAAUAUGAUUUUGAAUCUGGAUGCAUGUUUUCUGGAGGUCAGGAAGUAGAAUGCAUUGAUAUUAGACUUGCUCUCCUUAAACUUAUAGAUUAUGUUAGCAAGCGAGAAAACCCAAUUCUUGUAGGCCACAAUGUAUUAUCCUUUGACAUUCCAAUUCUAAGCAAGAAACUUCAAGAGCAUGGUCUUCUUCAAGAAUUUUUGCGGCAUGUGAGUGAUUGUUUGGACACACUCCGGCUAGCACGUAAGUUAUUCAAUAAGGAAACUGUGGGCAACUACAAACAGCAAACACUCGUACAAGUUUUCCUAGGAAAAUCCUACCAAGCACAUGACGCUCUUACAGAUGUUAAAAAUCUUUACGAACUUUUUGUGUCCAAGAAACAGAUGCUCUUCCUUUCAAUUUCCAUGUCCUACAGAAGUCAUUCGUACCACUCGUUCAAAGGAAGCUUAUUUCGAGUGCAAAUUCAAGAAAACUUGCAAAUUCUGGACUAGGACUUGGACACCUUAGUCUAGCAUACAAACGAGACAACGAAGAAGGGGUUAAGUUUAUUUUGUCAGAACAUGGUUCCA